rnacentral:rRNA from 1 species
UACGGGGGGAGCAAGCGUUGUUCGGAUUUACUGGGCGUAAAGGGCGCGUAGGCGGCCACCGCAGGUCGAUUGUGAAAUCUCCGGGCUUAACUCGGAAAGGUCAACCGAUACUGCGGGGCUAGAGUGCAGAAGGGGCAACUGGAAUUCUCGGUGUAGCGGUGAAAUGCGUAGAUAUCGAGAGGAACACCUGCGGCGAAGGCGGGUUGCUGGGCUGACACUGACGCUGAUGUGCGAAAGCUAGGGGAGCGAACGGG